UACGAAGGGUGCGAGCGUUAAUCGGAAUUACUGGGCGUAAAGCGCGCGUAGGUGGUUAAGUAAGCGAUCUGUGAAAGCCCCGGGCUUAACCUGGGAACUGCAGGUCGAACUGCUUGGCUAGAGUAUGGUAGAGGGGUGUGGAAUUUCCUGUGUAGCGGUGAAAUGCGUAGAUAUAGGAAGGAACAUCAGUGGCGAAGGCGACACCCUGGACCGAUACUGACACUGAGGCGCGAAAGCGUGGGUAGCGAACAGG
rnacentral:rRNA from 1 species